UGAUGGCGAAUCAGCAACAUGAAAAAUCAUCGACGCAUAAAUUUGGCCAUGAUCACGCUUUGAUCUUGCCACGUGUCGUCUCCCUUCAGUAUCAACAAACCCGCGUCUCUACCCCAAACAUUGCUCAUAUAAUCCGCUGCAAUUCUGCGUGUUUCAAUUUUUUUCAUAACAUCAGAACAACAAUCUUCAUUAAUUCUCUGACUAAACGUUUUCUCUGAAAAUCAACAAAAAUGGAGUUAUUCUAUUACUUCGUAUUCGGAUCCCUAGCUAUAAUUGUCGCAGCACUUGAGUCAAGCAAGAACAACAAUGAUCGUGUCAACACUUCUUCCGCUUUCAAUUCUUUAAAAAACAAUUAUAUCCUCGUUUAUUCUCUCAUGAUGGUUGGGGACUGGUUGCAGGGUCCAUACGUUUACUACCUUUAUAGUACAUAUGGCUACGGAAAAGGGGAUAUAGGACAACUUUUUAUUGCUGGUUUUGGAUCCUCCAUGUUAUUUGGGACAAUUGUCGGAUCACUGGCAGACAAGCAGGGUCGAAAGAGGGCAUGUGUGACUUACUGCAUAACCUACAUCCUGAGUUGUAUCACCAAACACUCUCCUCAAUAUCACAUCUUGAUGCUGGGUCGAGUUCUUGGAGGUAUCGCCACAUCACUGCUCUUCUCUGCAUUUGAGUCAUGGCUUGUUGCAGAGCACAACAAGAGAGGCUUUGAACAACAAUGGCUGUCUAUAACUUUCUCGAAGGCGAUUUUUCUUGGGAACGGUCUUGCUGCUAUUCUUUCUGGAUUGGUUGGAAAUCUACUGGUGUUUACCUUUGGGUUUGGGCCUGUAGCGCCCUUUGAUGCUGCUGCAUGUCUUCUUGCUAUAGGCAUGGCCAUCAUUUUAUCAUCAUGGACCGAGAACUUUGGAGAUCCUUCAGAGAAUAAAGAUCUGCUUUUGCAGUUUAAGGGGGCUGCAGUAGCCAUUGCUUCCGAUGAAAAAAUAGCUUUACUUGGAGCCAUUCAGUCAUUGUUUGAGGGUUCUAUGUACACCUUUGUAUUCCUCUGGACCCCUGCUUUGAGCCCAAAUGACGAGGAGAUUCCUCAUGGGUUUAUCUUUGCAACAUUCAUGCUUGCUUCAAUGCUGGGAAGCUCACUUGCUGCUCGGCUUCUGGCUCGUUCUUCUCCUAGAGUUGAAAGCUAUAUGCAAAUAGUAUUCUCCAUCUCUGCUGCCUCUCUCCUCUUACCAAUUGUAACAAAUUGGCUUGUAGAUCCUGCAGAGGUGAAGGGUGGUGGCAUCUCAUUUUCAGGUUGCAUCCAAGUUCUCAGCUUCUGUGUUUUUGAAGCAUGUGUUGGAAUUUUCUGGCCAUCUAUUAUGAAGAUGAGGUCCCAAUAUAUUCCAGAGGAAGCUAGAAGUACCAUCAUGAACUUCUUCCGUAUUCCUCUUAACGUCUUUGUUUGUGUUGUUCUAUAUAACGUUAACGCAUUUCCCAUCACUGUCAUGUUUGGCAUGUGCUCAAUCUUCCUCUGCGUGGCCUGUAUAUUGCAGAGACGACUCAUGGUUAUAUCUGACAGACCUAAAACUGAUGUUUAUGAAUUUGAGGAUAGAGAUACUGAAGCUGAGCCCUUGAAUAUCUAAGCAUUACGAGGUAAAAGGCUUGGCGUAUAGCGGUAAAAAUUUAUUCAACAACAUAGCGGCAAUGAAAAUGGGUGGUAAUUCUCACAAGAAAUAGUUUUGGUGCUCCUUGUGCGAGUAAAAAUACACAAACAUACAACUAUACAAAGGUGUUUCAACACUUUCUAUAGCAGUUCACUAAUCAUUAGGAAGCAAUUUUUUGACCCAAUUUUUUUUACCUUUCUUUCAUGUCUAAAAGGAGGACAGAGAACUAAUGUCCAUUUCUGUUCAUUUAUGUCAAAGAAAUUUCAUUUUUGUUGUUUAGGCUCAAUAUUUUUUCACAGUAGAACAGAUUUUUCAUAGAAACUACUCCAUAUUGUUUCUCUCGUUUUAGUUGUAUGGAUAUGGAAAUUUAUAGGAAAAUUUCGUAUGGCAACUCUAAAUUUUUCAACUUUUGCACGUGGUAGACAAAUAUUUUUUUGAUCCACAUGGUGACCUUGACCUUCUAAUUUUUUCACGUGGUAGAUAAAAUGAAAAUUUUUAAAUAUUUUUACCAUAUGGAAAAAUUAAAAACUUAAGAUCACCAUAUAAAUUUAAAAAUACAUUUGUAGAAAAACAAAAAAAUUUAAGGUCACUAAAUUUUUAAAUAUUACAUUUGCUUUGUUUCUAAAUGUAAUAGUGUAUUGGUGGGCUAUCCCAAUAUGUUAUAAACUUUGUCUUUAGCAAAAUGUAUUGAUGUCUGACACGUUUAAUCGUCGCCCACCACUGUUGUCAGUCUUUUGGCAUUCUUUUUACAAUAUAAAUAAGUGCUUAGAGAAGGUUGAAAAUCACAUUGAGUCCACAAAAAAUGUCAUCCGAAACUUCUUUUAUUCCCCAAUAUUACAUCCAAUUACGUAUACUUAAUACUCAUCUAAACAGGUCUUACUUAGUUGGAAAAUGACUUAGGAAGCAGUAUCAUUCUUUUCCCUUUUCUUUUUAUUUUAAGCAUUAUUGACUCGUUCAACAUGCUUUUUUUUAUUAUUAUAAUAAGCUUGUAAAAUUACUCUAUAAACUAUUUGCGUUAUUGAUGUGUGUGUUUUAUAUAUUAUUUUCUACCAUGCCCCCAUUGUAUUUUCAUAGUAUUUCUCGCGUAUUUUGCUCAAUUUCCUAUUGGUUUUUAUGCUUGGUUGGAGUGUUUGUUUCCUAUCUAUUUUGUAGGUACAACGCUCUAAUUAUGCUAGGAAUCGACUCUUGGAGCGAGAUUUGCAAGUUGGAAGGUCAUAAGCUACUCAAAGGUCAUUUUUGUGCUGACCAGGUCUCAUACUCGGGUGGGUUUCCACAUACCCGGCCGGGUGAGCCUCUCAUACCCGGUCGGGUUUCCACAUACCCGGCCGGGUGAGCAUCUCAUACCCGGGUGGGUUUCUAGACACCCGGCCAGGCUUCCAUUGAAGAUUAAAAUGCUAUGCUGCGUACCCGGGCGGGUUUCCACAUACCCGGCCGUGUUUACUCUUGAACUUAGAAAAUUUUUGGUCUUGAAGAGUUAGUUUUGCUUCGCACCCGGCCGGGUUCAGCAGUUAUUUUUGAUAGUAACUUCCCAUAUCCUCCGAUCUCUUUUAAGGGGGAUAUAAAUAGCUUUUGAGAGGAAUUUUUGAGACAGUUUUUUUUCUCUGUUUUGAGGGUUUGAUAUUGAAGAGAUUUCUCAUAUUACUUGCCAUGGGGGAUUGUUAAUCAACACUGAACAUGUAAUUUUAAUUAUAUUGAAGCAUUCAAAUAUGAGAGUGCAGAUAAUUUAUUGGGUUAUGUAACAGAAGGUGAUGGAAAAGGUUAUCUUGGAUUCUAUUCGGAAAUAAUAUUUAAUUCAAGAGUUAAAUUUGCUAUC